GAAAUAAGCGGCGAAAUGGGGAAAUGGUCAGCUGAUAGACCCCAAUGUCAAGCUAUUACCUGUGAACCCCCUGUCAUAUCAAACGGACAUGUAUCAGUCACCAAAGCAGCCGUGUAUGGGUCAAUUGUAACCUAUCAUUGUAACCAAGGCUUUGUUCUGGAUGGGAAACGGAGCUCAAAGUGUAGUCAAAAUGGAACUGACAAUGUUUAUGGGAAAUGGACUAACCAGUCGCCUGUGUGUAAAGUUAUCACCUGUGAACCUCCUGUCAUAUCCAACGGACAUGUAUCAGUCACCAAAGCAGCGGUGUACGGGUCAACUGUAAUCUAUCAUUGUAACCAAGGCUUUGUUCUCGAUGGGAAAGGAAGCUCCAAGUGUAGUCAAAAUGGAACUGACAAUGCGUAUGGGAAAUGGAC